rnacentral:rRNA from 1 species
UACAGAGGUCUCAAGCGUUGUUCGGAUUCAUUGGGCGUAAAGAGCGCGCAGGCGGUCGUUCAAGUCGAGUGUGAAAGCCCCCGGCUCAACUGGGGAGGGUCAUUCGAUACUGAUCGACUGGAAGGCAGGAGAGGGAAGCGGAAUUCCCGGUGUAGUGGUGAAAUGCGUAGAUAUCGGGAGGAACACCAGUGGCGAAGGCGGCUUCCUGGUCCAGCACCGACGUCAGGCACGAAAGCGUGGGGAGCAAACAGG